UAUUACAUAUAAGAUAGUGCUACAGUAUAUGCAUCUAACUUUAUGUGUCUAUAUAAAGGGACCUGCCACGGCAGCAAGCUUGUUCCAAAACGCUGCAUCGACACAGCUGCGUUGUCAGUGUCCUGAGCAAUCUCCAGCGCUCACGCUGCUAUGCCAUUCUUCACACAACCAUACCUUACAUAGGCACCUCCUCGUUAAGCUCCCUAAUGCCUUCCAUGUACGUAUGACAGCCAUCAAAUUAAAUUUCAAAAGCUGCUCACCCCAGCUACAUAGCUGCCUCUGGAGGGGGGGCCGAGCCUCGAGCACAGCCUCCACGGCAGGGCUGCUAACGGGGUCUCAGUGCUGGGAGCCAUAAAGCGCGCUGUGACCACUUUGUAGGCCUAUUUUAUUUUUUUUUUUGCUUUGUUUUUUUGCUUUUUACCUGUGCAUGACUUUAUUUAUAACUUUCAGGGGUCAGAAGCACUUGUACUACAGGUGGCUAUUGAUUUCCAAAAGGGAAGCAACUGAUGAAUCGCUGGAGGUCCAGCUCUAGAAGAUGCCCAAGUGCUGCUUGACCCAGCAUUCUCCACGCACCUGCAGGGACGGACUCCCCCAGCACAAGCGUGGGCAGUGGAGCCAAAGCUUCCUGCCAGGCAACUCAAACUCCCGCAUCUCGGAGGAGCCCGGUUUGUCCGGCCCCAGCCAGCACACUGCUCCAUCGUCCAUUUUCCCUGCUGUAAAGUGGAAAAGACAACACACGCAUUUCUUAGGGGUGCGGAGGGAAAGCGAUUAACACCUCAGCCUCCCGCAAAGCCGCCUGAGACUCUCUUUCCCUUGCCAGGAAGUGAAGUCAAGUGAUGUAGCGAACAUCUGUGACGUUCAUGGAUGAGCACAGCAUUCUGACUAUUUUAUGGACCUGGGGAGCAGAUCUGUCCCAUUGUGCACGGAAGAAGAGAAACCGAGGCUACAGGACCUAGUAGGCAUGCCGGCAUCCUAAGGACCCAAAUCAUCCGCGGCGCUGAUGAGAAAGGCAACUUGCAGAUACAGCAGGGAAACGCGGCGGAGCCCAGCUUCACUGCCGUGGGACCCGCACGGGGCUGGGCAGAGCCUGGGGGAGCCCGCCAUUUACUGAGCUUUCCUUCCUCUGCUGGAGGGUCACACCGACUGGACUGACGACUGGCUAGCUGGAACGCCCAACUGGGAGGAGGCCAGGUGGCCAAGAGCAAUUGCUCAGGGAUAACCACAGCCCAGCUGACUAAAACUGCCGAUACACUUCUCACCCAAGGGCCGUUUUGCAUCCGUCUGAUGCUGCAUUGCAUUGACAAACACCAGUGCUGCGCGGUGUACAUAGCAGAUUAAAUCUGACCGUGGACGGUAAAGAAGUGGAUAGCGGUUUGGACUCAUGGAAAAUAGUGAUGUUUAUUUUACCUUAAAGAAUAAAGCCGUUCGGUUUAGCCUUAGAGAUUUUAGCAUGCAUUUGCUAAUGGCUCAAUGAACUCGUAAACGACAGGGUUAAGGCUGAGUUCACGCUUGCUCCUGAGCAUGGUCUACACGUUCUGGAGACUGGGACUUCGCAAUGUAAAGCCCUCUCAGGAGCCCACCACGCUCUCCAGGCUGAAACCAGCCUCUGGCACCCACGGUCUCCCCGCUCGCAAAGGAGCGGAAACGCCUUAGCGAUGGGCACGUGAGGGAUUCGGUGAGCAGCCCGUCGCCAGCUGCACCAGAAGCCUCUGACGGUUCACAAACCAGCUACUGGUGAUGGCAACCAGCUCCCCCGUCCGCAGGGACCCGCCACCCCUGCCGUAAAUCCACACUGGUAACUGCUGCUGUCGGCCCCUGAAAGGAAGAGUCAGUUAGCAAGAGAAAAACACUGGUUGGUUUUUAUUUUGUUUUAGGCUGGAAGGAAGCCACGGAUCGCAGCUCGGAGAGCAGGCUGCGAUCGGCCGAGAGAAAUACGGCUCCCUGGCGACAGCCGAGCUGUGAAAUAGAGCUUCGGUUCGCUGCUUGGCAGUGCCUGUGAGGUCAUCUCAGUUAAAUAAAUACGAUGCCAGGCUGAUGUGUUGUAGGGAAUGGUUUAUGUCCUUCAUCGGAUGAAGCAGAGAGCAGGCAGGUGCAGAGAGAAGGUGAGUGAACACAUUUGUGUAAAUAGCCACAAUCAGCCAUAUUUUGGGGAACACAAGAUGCCAGCCCGCUGCCAGCAGAGCUACCCUGCUUCUGCCUCGGGGAUCGGUGUGGGCCUACCAACAUGCCAGAACUGGGUGUUUUCUCCCAAAACAGCCCCUGUGGGAGAGCCGCCCUGCUCCCGGCAGCCCUCCAGCCCCGCUCCGUUACCAGCUUUCCAACAUCCUGUUUUCACCGGGGUUAUUUUAAUCUCCCUGCUUCCCAUCACAUUUUUCCUCCUGCCCAUGCCAACGCAGACUGUGAUUCCUGGCAGGCAGGGUGGAAAUCUCCUCCCCGGGCUGCGCCAGCAUCUUGGAGCCUCUUUGGAAGAACCAAAAAAACCUACUUCACUGCUGACAUAAUUAUGCUUUUAUCAGGACAAGAGAAAUGAUGCAAGGUACUGAUUUAACCAGCCAAGGGCCGUACAGGUAUGGACACAGCCAGACUCUUCCAUGUUCUUCCAAGCUAGCAGUGAAAUUUUGGCAGCUGCAAAUUGUGAGCCACUCAAUGGCUGCCAGGCUUGCCACCGCUCUGCUUGGGCUUUCAGGGUUUGCUUUACUCUUGGGUUUCCUCCGUCCUGGGUGAUGAAUCUCCUCGCCCCGUGCAGGUCCCUAAGCCAGUCACGGUGAGGUUUUGUACCUUGUCUCGCUGGAAGGCGAUGCUGUACUCUAGGUGCUGCAGUUAGCAAGGUCAAUAGAAAUAUGGACAGAAGUGCCAGCAAUACCCAAAGGACGUUGCCGCCCCCCCCAACAGCUGUACAGGCUGUCGCCUUGCUGCUUCACAGGGCGAGGUGUGACGGAAAGCUGAGACCUCAAACGGUUGAGGUUUGCAUAAAGCAAGUAAACAGAAAAUUUAAAAAAUCAUGGAAAAGCAGUGAAAUAGCAUGUGUAAGGGUCCAAAAGAUAAUCUAAUAUGUAGAAGUAACUUAAACUUUCAGUAUAUGUCAACGUCAAAUUUGCUAAGAGACUCUGUAGCAUUUGCAGAAAAAAAUUCCGAGGCAGACAUAACACAAAAUAAAAACCAAACCCAUCUGCUUUCUUAAUCAUAGGCUUUAAAAAUGUCUUUGCUAGUUAUCCAGCUGUUUCAAGAGCCAUACUGUUUAAAUCUAUAUCCAUACAAACACAGAAGUCACAAUAAAUCUGUAAGUUAUUUAGGUCUAUGGCUUUAAAUUAUUAAAAAUGAUAAAAUUCAAGACAGACAUUAAAUGGAAACGUCAUUUCUCUACAGCCUCUAGCACUGGAGAUUUAAGCUCUAAUCCAGUCUGAACAGCAUCCUCAAGAACGAGAAUGAGAAAAUGUCCUUUUAUUGCCAGAGUCCAGGUUUGGAGCAUCCAUAGCUGAAGCCUCAGCCACAAACUAAAAGUGUGUUUAAGGAUCAACCAUCUUGUAAAGCAGAAACUCUCCCCUGGCUAUGCUUGUGGGGUGGAGACACCUUUUUGGGAAGAUGUUGUGGCAAUGACGACAGAGAAAAAUGAUGAGGUCUAUCCUUUCCUUGCGCCAGCCAUGGUGGGAUUAGCAUGGCAAAGGCGGCUCCACGCUGCACAGCACCAGAGCCUUAGGGUAUGGCUUGGGGAACAUGGCCAAAUUCAGAUAUAAAGGAAAGCCUGUAUUUUAUUAGGCCUCACAUCUAUUCCAAGAGCAGCCAGUAAUGUUUAAGCAAGAGGCAGGAGAUCACCCACAUGCCUUGGGCUGUACUCAGCCACGAAUGAUUGCUGGGAGAAUGUAAUAAGCCUAAACCAGAAGUUACCAAAAAUUUGGAAGAAUCAAAAGCAUGAGCAAAGACACAAGCAAUGUGGAACCAUACCAAAGCAGGACAAAAAUAUAUCAGCCUUCUACCAAUUAGGAAACAAAAGUUAAAACUGAAAAAAAACCCCAACAAACCAUCAGCCACCAUUUAAUCACGGCUCCCUACCCUAUUAUCAGUAAGGGCAGAUUAAUCCAAGUCCCCCCCCAGUGCAGAAGUCGUCCUUCCCCACGUCCCCCUCCGUAUCGCCGUGCUGUUGUUACUCAGCGGCCCUCCAUGCCAGGGAGCGCAAGGGACCGCUGCCCCGUGGCAGCGCAGGAUGCAGGAGCCAGAGCGGGAGCCCAGCCGCUCCACCUGCAGUCCUGCGGGUAGCCACAGCCCAGCACCUUUGUUUUAUCAACGAGGGGACCAGAGCGGGUGAGCAGGCUGGGAAAGGCAACGGUAUCGCUGGCUCCGAAGCUGCACAAGUCAUAAGUUCCCUGUCCCACACCCAACUGCAAAAAGCGUGCCUUCCUGUUUCAAUCCACGCAUAACAUCCAGGCUGGGCGACAGCAAGGUUAAAAGUACUUUUGGCUUCAGUAGACCAGCACAUAGAUUACAAGAGGAAUUUGAUUAUCACGGUUCACUAUAGAAGGGCUGCUUUGCAGUCAGGAUGCGACGGACAGAUCCCAGAGAAAAGCCAAUGCCGUUACGCGACGGCUGCUGCCAGCUAUUGACACAGCUAUUUGCAGAGCGUGGCCGUACCCGGCUAUCGCCACGUCCACAUCAGCUGCCGGCACAGAGCUCCCCUGCGCACACUCUGGUGCAUGCAGAUCACCUUAUCAGCGACGCUAAUUCUCAGUCGAGAGAAGUCAUUGAACUUUUCAACAGUCAAUAUUUUAAGGAGUUCUCAAAUAGCACUCGGAGUAAGCAGAUAACCAUUUUAAAUAUAGAGACACCGGAAUGGAAGCCCAGGAGUGCUGGGUGCCAGCAGUGAUCUGGAUUAUUUGCUUGUUACCAAAUACCCCGCAGCGUUACUUCCCAGGUUGUUCAGCUCAAGUCUGACGCACACAGUGGCAGAACAACAAACAAGAAUUUGCAGGAUUUUGUAAGCACUCAAGUAAUUCAAAGAAUAAGGAACGAGUUGGUUCAGGGCUGCUGUUGCUCAGGAUUGUAUCUUUGGAAGAAUGGGGACAGUUUACUUGUUAAUUACGUGUAAAACCUAACCCAAGGCUUGAGAAGC